AGAGUUUGAUCCUGGCUCAGGACGAACGCUGGCGGCGUGCUUAACACAUGCAAGUCGAGCGGUAAGGCCUUUCGGGGUACACGAGCGGCGAACGGGUGAGUAACACGUGGGUGAUCUGCCCUGCACUCUGGGAUAAGCUUGGGAAACUGGGUCUAAUACCGGAUAUGACCACAGCAUGCAUGUGUUGUGGUGGAAAGAUUUAUCGGUGCAGGAUGGGCCCGCGGCCUAUCAGCUUGUUGGUGGGGUAAUGGCCUACCAAGGCGACGACGGGUAGCCGACCUGAGAGGGUGACCGGCCACACUGGGACUGAGACACGGCCCAGACUCCUACGGGAGGCAGCAGUGGGGAAUAUUGCACAAUGGGCGGAAGCCUGAUGCAGCGACGCCGCGUGAGGGAUGAGGGCCUUCGGGUUGUAAACCUCUUUCAGCAGGGACGAAGCGUGAGUGACCGGUACCUGCAGAAGAAGCACCCGGGCUAACUACGUGCCAGCAGCCCGCGGUAAUACGUAGGGUGCGAGCGUUGUCCGGGAAUUACUGGGCGUAAAGAGUUCGUAGGCGGUUUGUCGCGUCGUUUGUGAAAACCCGGGGCUCAACUUCGGGCUUGCAGGCGAUACGGGCAGACUUGAGUGUUUCAGGGGAGACUGGAAUUCCUGGUGUAGCGGUGAAAUGCGCAGAUAUCAGGAGGAACACCGGUGGCGAAGGCGGGUCUCUGGGAAACAACUGACGCUGAGGAACGAAAGCGUGGGUAGCAAACAGGAUUAGAUACCCUGGUAGUCCACGCCGUAAACGGUGGGCGCUAGGUGUGGGUUCCUUCCACGGGAUCUGUGCCGUAGCUAACGGCAUUAAGCGCCCCGCCUGGGGAGUACGGCCGCAAGGCUAAAAACUCAAAGGAAUUGACGGGGGCCCGCACAAGCGGCGGAGCAUGUGGAUUAAUUCGAUGCAACGGCGAAGAACCUUACCUGGGUUUGACAUACACCGGAAAACCGUAGAGAUACGGUCCCCCUUGUGGUCGGUGUACAGGUGGUGCAUGGCUGUCKUCAGCUCGUGUCGUGAGAUKKUKGGUUAAGUCCCCGCAACGAGCGCAACCCUUGUCUUAUGUUGCCAGCACGUAAUGGUGGGGACUCGUAAGAGACUGCCGGGGUCAACUCGGAGGAAGGUGGGGACGACGUCAAGUCAUCAUGCCCCUUAUGUCCAGGGCUUCACACAUGCUACAAUGGCCAGUACAGAGGGCUGCGAGACCGUGAGGUGGAGCGAAUCCCUUAAAGCUGGUCUCAGUUCGGAUCGGGGUCUGCAACUCGACCCCGUGAAGUCGGAGUCGCUAGUAAUCGCAGAUCAGCAACGCUGCGGUGAAUACGUUCCCGGGCCUUGUACACACCGCCCGUCACGCCAUGGGAGUUGGUUCUACCCGAAGGCGUUGCGCUAACCCGUAAGGGAGGCAGGCGACCACGGUAGGGUCAGCGACUGGGGUGAAGUCGUAACAAGGUAACC
rnacentral:rRNA from 1 species